CUAGUAACUGCGAGUGAAGCGGGAAUAAGCUCAAAUUUAAAAUCUGGCGGUCUUUGGCCGUCCGAGUUGKAGUCUGGAGAAGUGCUUUCCGCGCUGGACCGUGUAYAAGUCUCNUGRAACAGAGCGUCAUASAGGGUGAGAAUCCCGUCUUUGACACGGACUACCAGUGCUUUGUGAUGCGCUCUCAAAGAGUCGAGUUGUUUGGGAAUGCAGCUCAAAAUGGGUGGUGAAUUCCAUCUAAAGCUAAAUAUUGGCGAGAGACCGAUAGCGAACAAGUACCGUGAGGGAAAGAUGAAAAGCACUUUGGAAAGAGAGUUAAACAGUACGUGAAAUUGCUGAAAGGGAAACGCUUGAAGUCAGUCGCGUCUGCCGGAACUCAGCCUUCCUUUUGGUUGGUGCACUUUCCGGUAGACGGGCCARCAUCGAUUUCGACCGUCGGAUAAGGGCUGGGGAAAUGUGGCACCUUCGGGUGUGUUAUAGUCCUCAGUCGCAUACSGCGGUUGGGAUCGAGGAACGCAGCGCGCCGCAAGGCAGGGGUUCGCCCACUUUCGCGCUUAGGAUGCUGGCAUAAUGGCUUUAARCGACCCGUCUUGAAACACGGACCAAGGAGUCUAACAAACCUGCGAGUGUUUGGGUGGAAAACCCGAGCGCGUAAUGAAAGUGAAAGUUGAGACCUCUGUCGUGGAGGGCAUCGACGCCCGGACCUGACGUUCUCUGACGGAUCCGCGGUAGAGCAUGUUUGUUGRGACUCGAAAGAUGGUGAACUAUGCCUGAAUAGGRUGAAGCCAGAGGAAACUCUGSUGGAGGCUCGUAUCGAUUCUGACGUGCAUAUCGAUCGUCAGAUUUGGGUAUAGGGGCGA
rnacentral:rRNA from 1 species